rnacentral:rRNA from 1 species
AUGAAUGAUUCAUCUUGGAAAGUAGACACCGGUCACAAGUUUGGUUAUCUUACAUAUAUUGAGAAGAAAAUGGUUGAAGUACUGCCACAUGCUGAUCUCAAAGCUGAUCCACAUAUUGGGUCAAAAGUUAAGAUUUUGAAGAAGCAAAUUUCUUAUGUUCUGGAAAUUAUGCAAAAUGGUAGUGGGUUUGGAUGGGACGAUGACAAGAAGAUGGUAAUUGGAGAUAGAGAGACCUAUAUGGGUUGGGCAAAGAAAGUUAUAGAAGUUGAACGAGCAACAGAUGCAGAACCUACUAGCCAAGGCCAAGGAGAAUCUUCUCGAGCACAUGAGAACACCAACCCAUCUGGUGGUUCUAGGCCUGGUCGUAAGAGAACAUACCCUGAUGAUGAUGCACUGGAAUCUGGCCUUAUAAAUGUGUCCAACACAAUUUCAAAGUUCUUGGAAGCAGAACAGGAGAAUGCAAAAACCAUGAACGGUUUAUAGAGGACGUUUAUGCAUGAAGCUCAAGUUAACGAGCACACAUCAGCCAACAAAACCAAGUUACUUGACACUUUGCAGAAUCUUAAAGAUCUCAGUAAAGAAGUUGUUAUGGAUGUUCGUGUCAUUGGUAGUGAUGCUGGAAAGACUGAGCUUUUCAUACAAUUGCGUGAUGAUUUCAAAGUAGUGUUUGUUCGCCAAGAGCUUGAGGUGGCCAAAAAAUAA